CCGUAGCCCAAGAGAUCGGGAUAACACCUGGGAACAGAUGCUAAUACCGGAUAACAACAGAUGAUGCCUAUCAACUGUUUAAAAGAUGGUUCUGCUAUCACUCUUGGAUGGACCUGCGGUGCAUUAGCUAGUUGGUAGGGUAACGGCCUACCAAGGCGAUGAUGCAUAGCCGAGUUGAGAGACUGAUCGGCCACAUUGGGACUGAGACACGGCCCAAACUCCUACGGGAGGCAGCAGAC
rnacentral:rRNA from 1 species